UUGGGAGCUCACUGGCUUCGGAGUCGUAGGAACUCCGAAGUUAAGCGAGUUGGGGGCUAGAGCAAUCCUAGGAUGGGUGACCCACUGGGAAGUUGCUCGUGAGCUCCUAGA
rnacentral:rRNA from 1 species